rnacentral:rRNA from 1 species
GUUGCGUGGGUGGAGGGGUGCUUAUCUAUUGGAGGAGGGAGAUGGGUGAAGGAGGAACUAAUAGAUGUGGAAGAGGUGUAGUGUGCCGGUUUGUACACCUUUUGCCCCGUUGUGUUUGAAUAGAGGAACGUCCGGAGGGAGUUUUUCUUAUAGAGUGACGUCGGCGGUGGUGUUUAGGAGGUAGCUAGAGUGGACUAGGUGGCGGCGGCGGUCUUUAGGAGGUAGCAAGAGUGGACUAAAGGGACGCGGCGGCAACAGAACCGUGGCGUAGGUCCAAAGGGGUGAACUAGGAACCCAUACUCCAAAGGGAGGGUGCCGUACAUCUAGUGCCGACCUGUUCUUUGACAAUGCCAUACAGGUGGCGGCCGUGGUAGCGCGAGAGGAACCUUCGGGGCGAGGGGCGCGAGGUAAAACCAUCAGUGGCGUCCCUUGCUGAUGUUUUGUUUCUGCGUGUUCCACAGCCUCUACGCCACCCCUACCCCUUCCAGUAAGCCACGACGCGGCCCUCCGUCGUAGAUGAGGUGAUCUUCUUGCGAUUCGUUUCUUAAACCUAGUCUACAGUUAUCGCGUCCCCGUCCCCCGAUGAGCUACCCGGUUUUUUCGCCUCCAAGUCAACGCCGGGUCUACGUGUCGUCGCCACGCUGCUGAGUAUAUACGUGUUCCCACAGCGCUGCUGACUCUCUACAUGUCUUCACCACGUCGGCGAGGUGUCACUACCAAACAUCACGUCAUGCCAGUCGAUCGGUAGACGGGGUAGGGCAGGUUAAUUAUACGUCGUCGAUAUGCAAUAUGCCUAUAAUGAUCGACAUCAACGUCGAUAAUUCAAAAAUGAUCAUAUCAACAAGUGGUUCAUCCUUUUCAAUCUACGUACAUGUACAUGCUUUGACUGAUACGUCAUAAGUUCAAAGGUCGUUAAAAAGCAACUUUUUUAAUCAAUGACAACUUUUUCAUCGAAGGUUAAAACUGUCAUUAGAAAAUUACCUUUGUGACUUGGUAGGGCGAACUGUUUCAAAUAGAUAAUUAAUUUAUACAACCGUUAUGGUUUCACGUAGUCAAAGAGUCAAAAAAUCUAGUAGAACUCUCUCAAGUUUAAGUCUCAUUGUAAACCAGAUCUCUAGAAACACACUCAUUACUACAAUACAACUGAAGAGGUAAGAUUGGUACCAUAACCGAAUACCUCUAGUAUCAAAGAGAUACCUCUUUUAAAUCACAGUCAUAUGUAUGUAAACUUUAUAACAAAACACCAGAAGAUUUAAUGGUUAUGUAUACAACAUAGAAGUCUAAUGUCUUUGACCUAACAAAGUCCAUCACUGCUGCAAUGCAACACUGACACUGCAGUUUCCUGUUGUGUACCAAGUCUAAGGAUUCUAUAAAACAGCUACGUACCGAGUCAGUUACUAACAAUCCAGCUCUUACCACGACGAUCUAUCAGAAUAGUAGACUAACGUUCCAGCUCUUGCCACAACGACGACGUAUCAAAAUAGUAGACUAACGUUCCAGCUCAUACCACUACGACGAUCUAUCAGAAUAGUAGACUAACGUUCCAGCACUUACCACAACGAUGACCUAUCAGAAUACAAUACAAAAUGCUAUAGUAAAGGUCACAGUUACAAAGUUUUUGACAUUAAAGCUUAUCAACUCUGUUACUAACUUUCCAGGUCUUAACCCGAUGAUUAAUCAUAGUGUUGAACAUUAGAAACCUAGUACAAGAAACAUUACCUUAUCUCCUUUAAAUUACAUAAUCUGGAAAGAGUAUAUAACACGGAGAAUACAUGAUAGGGGUAACUGGAAUAGUAAUAGUU